rnacentral:rRNA from 1 species
UGGUGGAGUGAUUUGUCUGCUUAAUUGCGAUAACGAACGAGACCUUGACCUGCUAAAUAGCCAGGUUCACUUUGGUGGGCCGCCGGCUUCUUAGAGGGACUUUUGGCUCAAGCCAAUGGAAGUACGAGGCAAUAACA